rnacentral:lncRNA from 1 species
UUCAAACAAUGGCUUCCUAUCCACUGCAGUGAAGGAAGUAAAAGUGACCGACCCCAGCCUGUGUGGCAAUGCCAUCUACAAUGAGGGACUGGAGAAUGAUUCGGUUGGUAAUGUGCUUGUGAUGUAAACAUUAGGAGUAUGGAUAGCCCCAAACACUCUUAAAAGGGCAAUGUGCUUGCCUGUAAUCCCAGCAAUCCAGUGGCCUGAUGGGAGGCAGAGACUGGAAAAUCUUUGGCAAUCUGUGGAUCACCUAUCCUGGAGUACACAGUGACAAACAUGAGAGUCUGUGUCUAAACAAGGCGCAAGUUUGCUAUGUGAGUUCUCAUUUGCUCCACUCAUCAUAUCUACCUGCUGCCAAGCUUCCGAGCCAUGAUGGUGAUGGACUCUUACCCCAAGGAAGGAAAAGCCCAAAGCAAACUCCUCCUUCUAUAAGUUGUUCUUCAUAGAAUUUUAUCACAGCAAUAGAAGUUUCUAAUACAGAAGUUGAUUCCAGGAGCAUGAGAUACGACUGUAGCAGACUUGAACAUGUAGUUUUCUAGUUUGGAAGACUUUGGAACUUUGGACUAUAAAGUGGUUGAAUGCUAUAAGCAGAACUCAAUGGGCCAUCCUAGUAAAAGUUGGAAAACAGUAAUACUGAGUAUGUCCACUGUGGAGGCCCAACUCAAGAGGUUUCUGUGGCAACUGUAUUUGCAACUAAGUUACAAUAUACUUGUUAUAUUUCAGCAAAAAUUAUGGCUGCUUUCUCUCCAUGUCCUAAGAAUUUUCCUGAAGCUAAAUUUAAAAGUAAUGAAAUAAUUUCUUUGGUGGAAGAGAAUUCAAGACAGUCUAAUAUUGAAUCUGCAGGUUUAUAUUGAAAAAGAGCAAAUGGAACAGAAAGAAAUACAAAAUGUAUAGAUUGAAGAGAAAAAGGGAACCAGGAAACUGCACUUGGAGCUAAGGA